rnacentral:rRNA from 1 species
UACGUAGGGGGCGAGCGUUGUCCGGAUUUAUUGGGCGUAAAGAGCUCGUAGGCGGUUCGGUAAGUCGGAUGUGAAAUCUCCACGCUCAACGUGGAGGGGCCAUUCGAUACUGCCGUGACUCGAGUCCGGUAGGGGAGUGUGGAAUUCCCGGUGUAGCGGUGAAAUGCGCAGAUAUCGGGAGGAACACCCGUAGCGAAGGCGGCACUCUGGGCCGGUACUGACGCUGAGGAGCGAAAGCGUGGGGAGCAAACAGG